UAUAUAGUGGCAAACCUUUGCAAACCUCAAACUCCCAAAUUUAUCCCUUCCCACCUCCUUUCCCCCAGAAAACAUUAAAUUGUUUACUAUAUUGUCGCAUCUGUUUCUGUUUUGAAGAUGAGAU